ACAGCAAAACCAACAGAAAUCAGAAUGGUCCACACUUCCUUCUGGGAAGAGGAACAAUGUCCAUAAAAGAUUAAAAAAAUAAUAAAGAAGCAUGACUAUUUCUUCCAGCGUGGGUGACCCACAAGCUCACAUGGUCCUAAGUGCUUAGUAACUUGUAUUUUCUAAUCAAAUGAAGAACUGCUUUGAGUGCGCAAAGCAAUCCAUGGUGAAAAGAUUUCCCUGAAUUCCUCAGUGGAAAGAAGAGGUGUCGAGAUUUUCAGAACUUGAAGAUAUGAAUUCAUUGCUGAAGAUAACACACACCGCUGGGACGCAGGACUUGGGGGAAGUCAUCUGGAACUGACUGAAGGUCCCUCUGCAUGGAAGAGCUUCCAGAGUAAGGGAGAGCUCGUUUCCUCAUGGAUGCCCAAGCCUGCAUGCUCUCACUAAAUUACUGUUGGGCCACUUCUGAAGCUGCAGUAGACAUUCAAGUGAUCUGGAUGACAUCUUCUUUAGGGAAAAGGGAAAGCUAGUAUCUGCAGAGACAUUUGGGCCUAUGGUGGAGACUUCCUUGGAAAACGUGCAAGAUGUACAAAGGGUAUAACACUAAAUGUCUUAAGAAAGUUCUUAUUAAGCAAGUUGAUGAUCAUCCAAGAGAACUGCAUUCUCAUUUACUUU
rnacentral:lncRNA from 1 species